AUUGGGAAUGUGAGAGGGACUCUUUGAAGUCAGCACAUUAACUCUCUUCAACAGUGGCCUAUCCUGAAAGCAGCAAAGGUGAUUUAACUGAAAAAGAACACUCUACGAAGAAUUUGUCAAGUGGCAUCACCUAGCUGAAAGAGCAAGGGUUUGGAAGUCAAAAGACCGGUUCCAAUCCCCACUCUGUCUGCGGUGUGACCUUGGGAACCAUCUUUCUUUUGGGACUCUGAAGUGCUGAAGUACCAGGGAGAGCAAUAAUUUGGACUGGAAGAGCUGCAGAGGGCUUCAAGUGUAAAAUUGUUAUGGACUGUAUUACAUAAACAAUCCUUCAUUUUGUUUUCACACAUACUGACUCUUAGAAGUAUGCUAAUAAAUUUGAGGCAGGUAUUCAUUUGUGCAU